rnacentral:rRNA from 1 species
CGGCGUCGGCUACACAUGCAGUCGUACAAGGUAACCGUAACUUGCUGCUUUGCUGACGAGUGGCGGACGGGUGAGUAAUGUCUGGGAAACUGCCUGAUGGAGGGGGAUAACUACUGGAAACGGUAGCUAAUACCGCAUAACGUCGCAAGACCAAAGAGGGGGACCUUCGGGCCUCUUGCCAUCAGAUGUGCCCAGAUGGGAUUAGCUUGUAGGUGGGGUAACGGCUCACCUAGGCGACGAUCCCUAGCUGGUCUGAGAGGAUGACCAGCCACACUGGAACUGAGACACGGUCCAGACUCCUACGGGAGGCAGCAGUGGGGAAUAUUGCACAAUGGGCGCAAGCCUGAUGCAGCCAUGCCGCGUGUAUGAAGAAGGCCUUCGGGUUGUAAAGUACUUUCAGCGGGGAGGAAGGGAGUAAAGUUAAUACCUUUGCUCAUUGACGUUACCCGCAGAAGAAGCACCGGCUAACUCCGUGCCAGCAGCCGCGGUAAUACGGAGGGUGCAAGCGUUAAUCGGAAUUACUGGGCGUAAAGCGCACGCAGGCGGUUUGUAAGUCAGAUGUGAAAUCCCCGGGCUCAACCUGGGAACUGCAUCUGAUACUGGCAAGCUUGAGUCUUGUAGAGGGGGGUAAAUUCCAGGUGUAGCGGUGAAAUGCGUAGAGAUCUGGAGGAAUACCGGUGGCGAAGGCGGCCCCCUGGACAAGACUGACGCUCAGGUGCGAAAGCGUGGGAGCAAACAGGAUUAGAUACCCUGGUAGUCCACGCCGUAAACGAUGUCGACUUGGAGGUUGUGCCCUUGAGGCGUGGCUUCCGGAGCUAACGCGUUAAGUCGACCGCCUGGGGAGUACGGCGCAAGGUUAAAACUCAUAUGAAUUGACGGGGGCCCGCACAAGCGGUGGAGAUGUGGCUUUAAUUCGAUGCACGCGAAGAACUUACCUUCUUGACUCCCCAGAACUUUUCAGAGUGGAUGUGUCUUCGGGUACGUGAGCAGGUCUGCAUGACUGUGUCGCUCGUGCUCGGCAAAGGUGAGUAGUCCGCAAGCGAGUGCUAACUAUCCUUAUGGUGCGUGGUCGUCGAAUCGAGGAACUGCAGUUAACUGCAGAAGGUGGAGCAC